rnacentral:rRNA from 1 species
GGGGGCUUUUGAUUAUCUAUUUCUGUGGAUUCUAUUCUAUUACAGCGUCAUUUUAUCUCAAUUAUAACUAUCAACAACGGAUCUCUUGGCUCUCACAUCGAUGAAGAACGCAGCGAACCGCGAUAUUUUUUGUGACUUGCAGAUGUGAAUCAUCAAUCUUUGAACGCACAUUGCGCGGUAUGGCAUUCCGUACCGCACGGAUGGAGGAGCGUGUUCCCUCUGGGAUCGCAUUGCUUUCUUGAAAUGGAUUUUUUAAACUUUCAAUUAUUACCUCCUUUCCCCUCCUUUAUCCGAAAUUACCCGCUGAACUUAAGCCUAUCCAUAAGCCGAAGAAAAACUAGGUUUGUUUGAAAGAAUUUAAGGUGUAAACUUAUUUUAAGCGACUUUUAUUUAUCCAAAACGCUUAAUUUGGUACUGGCCACCACAAUUUAUUUCAUAACUUUGACCUCAAAUCAGGUAGGACUACCCGCUGAAAUUAACCAUAUCAAUAACCGGAGGAAAAGGAAUCCCUGGCUGGGUUGGGGGACGGAGGGGUCGUGGAAUAAAAGAUUCUUUGGAAGGCGGGAUUUAAAUAACCCAAUUUAACACUUCCCCCCCCCCCCCAAAUACCCGCCACAUGAAUUAUAUUAAAGGGGGGAAGAAAUAUUUCGGAAUUUUGGGUUUCCUUUCUGAAAAAGCAAGC